rnacentral:rRNA from 1 species
UACGAGGGGGGCGAGCGUUGUUCGGAAUUAUUGGGCGUAAAGGGCGCGUAGGCGGCUUGGUAAGCGUGCGGUGAAAGCCCGGGGCUCAACCCCGGGUCGGCCGUGCGAACUGCUGGGCUGGAGCACUGUAGAGGCAGGUGGAAUUCCGGGUGUAGCGGUGGAAUGCGUAGAGAUCCGGAAGAACACCGGUGGCGAAGGCGGCCUGCUGGGCAGUAGCUGACGCUGAUGCGCGACAGCGUGGGGCGCAAACAGG